rnacentral:rRNA from 1 species
AGUAAUUGCGCAUGAACCAGGAUAUGCUUAGCUUGACAAAUGGAGCUGCUGGCUCUGAAUUGUAUUGUGGGAAUGUAUUACCAACAGAGGAGCAGGUGUCAGCCAUUUGAAAGAAAGCAUCAAUGAGGGUGAGAGUCCUGUUUGUCAUGUGCAGCCUUCUGUGCACGGUGUAUAUUUGCUGAGUCACACUCCUCGGCAUUGGAAUGCAAAGUGGGUGGUAAGUUUCAUGCAAAGGUAAAUAUGCAAUUGAGACUGAUAGCGCACAAGUACCGUGAGGGACAUAUGAAAAGGACUUUGAAAAGAGAAUUAAAUGAGUUUGUAUUUGCUAAACACAAAGUAAACAGACUUGAUUUCCUCAGUGAGAUUGUAGUGCUUGCUUGACAAUGGGUUUUGGCUGCAAGUGCAAUAAUUCUUGCUUUGUGUGCCAGUUUUUAUGUGGACAUUUGAUUACCUUUGCACAUGAAUGGUAAUUUUCCUGCGGGGUGUGGAUUGCAUAUGCAUGUAAUGAUUUGCAUGUUUGUUAAAUGUGUCUGGUGUAUUUGUUUGUGUCCUUGUCC